ensembl:lncRNA
AGGGAAACUUGGUUAAAAACAGAGUUAAAGGGAAUGGGUCUCGGAAGCCGAGGGUCUGAAGUUCAAGACUCCUAGAAGGGGAGGGGAAUGAAAGCCACUCAGUGAAGAAGGAAUGAUGAAAUUUACUGCACAGAAUGGGUAUGAAAAUGAAGUGAGCCAGCAAAAAUGAAAGUGGACCCUGUAACCUCUGGCACACAUAGUCACUUAUGCCUUUCCUUCUGCUGUCAGAUGGUGGUUGUGAGGUAAAACAAAUACAGUCUAUCUCUGACUUACAAUGGUUUGCCCUAAGAUUUUUGGACUUCAUGAUGGUGUGAAAGCAAUAUGAAUUCAGUAGAAACCGAACUUCAAAUUUUUGAAUUUUCCUCUGUUCCCAAGCUAGGGAUGUACUGUUGGAUACGCUCGGAUACCCUCUUGUAUGCUGGACAGUGGCAGCAAGCAGCUCCCAGUCGGCCAUGCAAUCAGGAGGGUAAACAAUGGACACACUUCCAAUUAUUCCGGACCCAGACGACCAUUCCUCUUUCACCUUCAGUACAGUAUUUGAUGAAUUGCAUGAGAUAUCGAACACUUCAUUAUAAAAUAGGCUUUGUGGGAGUUCCCGUCAUGGCGCAGUGGUUAAUGAAUCCGACUAGGAACCAUGAGGUUGCGGGUUUGGUCCCUGUCCUUGCUCAGUGGGUUGAGGAUCCGGCGUUGUCGUGAGCUGUGGUGUAGGUUGCAGACGCAGCUCGGAUCCUGCAUUGCUGUGGCUGUGGCAUAGGCCGGUGGCUGCAGCUCUGAUUCGACCCCUGGCCUGGGAACCUCCAUAUGCCGCUGGAUUGGCUCAAGAAACAGCAAAAAGACAAAAAAAAAAAAAAAAAA